rnacentral:rRNA from 1 species
GACGAACCGUGCGAACGUUAUUCGGAAUCAUUGGGCUUAAAGCGCGUGUAGGCGGAUGGGAACGUCGGUCGCUGAAAUACUCCGGCUCAACCGGGGAACUGGCAUCGAAACGACCCGUCUCAAGGGGCAUAGGGGGAGCUGGAACUUCCGGUGGAGCGGUGAAAUGCGUUGAGAUCGGAAGGAACGCCCGUGGCGAAAGCGAGCUCCUGGAUGUCUUCUGACGCUGAGACGCGAAAGCUAGGGUAGCGAACGGG